UACGGGGGGAGCAAGCGUUGUUCGGAUUUACUGGGCGUAAAGGGCGUGUAGGCGGCCACCGCAAGUCGACUGUGAAAUCUCCGGGCUUAACUCGGAAAGGUCAGCCGAUACUGCGGGGCUAGAGUGCAGAAGGGGCAACUGGAAUUCUCGGUGUAGCGGUGAAAUGCGUAGAUAUCAAGAGGAACACCUGAGGUGAAGACGGGUUGCUGGGCCGACACUGACGCUGAGUGCGCGAAAGCCAGGGGAGCAAACGGG
rnacentral:rRNA from 1 species